rnacentral:snRNA from 1 species
GUGCUUGCUUCGGCAGCUCAUAUACUAAAAUUGCAACGAUACAGAGAAGAUUAGCAUGGCCCCUGCUCAAGGAUGACACACAAAUUUGUGAAGCAUUCCAUAUUUUU